rnacentral:sRNA from 1 species
GGGUGUAGGUAUGUACCCUGGCCUCUGCCAGUCAGACUCACAUGCUAGGAGGAGCAGGGCCAGGCAGGAGAGCCGUGUCUCCUGGCAUUGGGGCUGUAGGAAAGAUGAGCUCCUAGGCCACAGUGCCAGUGGCCAGUGCUGCUGCCUUGCAGGGUGGCACAGGCAGUGCUGGCUGUUUGGACUGGCUUGGCAGAAGGAUUUGAAGUAUUGUUCCUAGCCAACUGGACUCAAACCUGUUCUUCCAACCCUCUAGGGAUUUUCUCAUCACCCAGUAGCCUUUUCCCCCUAGUUUUAAAAAUUGCAGUAAAAUACACAAAGAUAAAAUGUACUGCCUUAACGAUUUUUAAGUGUACAGUUCUGUGGUAUUGAGCACAUUUAUAUUGUGCACCCAUCACCACAUGCAUCUUCAAUAGCUUUUCAUCAGUCCUUGUCUGCAUAAAUCAGCUAGAGUUGGUUUCUAUUGAUUGCCGCCAAUAAUCUUAACAGAUAUGUCUGAUCUUCCUUCUCUGCACUGACUCCUCUUUCUCUGUCUCUUCUGCUGAUUCUUUCUCCUCAUCACAACUCCAAAUAGCAGGGGGAGGGUUGUUUACACUUACAUUCAGGACGCCGUCACCCACUCGCCUGGCUCUUCAGACCUCUCCCCUGAACUCCAGAUUCAUACAUCCAGCUGCCCUUUAGGCCUCUAGAAAACUAAAUACCUCAGUAUCAAAAACAUGAGAAACGAAAGUCAGAGUCCUAGAUCUCUCGCCCUUUCCCUGUCCCAGUGCACAUGCCCUUCAGGGAUGGCACCUAGACCAGCUCCCUGCAUCCCUGCCUAGACUCUGCAGUAGUCUCACGUGGCAGACCCAGAGGUCACUCUCCUCUCCAGAUGCCCUGCAGACACCCCAGUUAGCAGGCAGUGUCCAGCUGUUCCUUCAGCUGGCCUCAGCUGCAAGAGCCUCCUCACCCAAGGUCACGCCAUUCCCAGGACAGCACCCUGGUGACUGAGGGAGCACUGAGCUAGCCUCUCCUUGCUAGAAGCUUACGGUCGAAGGUCUCCAGCCAUCAGAAGAAGCACAUGGAGCGUUGCAUCCGUGUUGUGGUUAUUCAUCCAGCAUGCGUUGAGGAAGAAAAGUCAGAAGACCAGGACCUCCAGGGCCUCAAGGACAAACCCCUCAAGUUUAAAAAGGUGAAGAAAGAUAAGAAAGAAGAGAAAGAGGGCAAGCAUGAGCCCGUGCAGCCGUCAGC